rnacentral:rRNA from 1 species
AACGAACGCUGGCGGCAUGCCUAACACAUGCAAGUCGAACGAGACCUUCGGGUCUAGUGGCGUACGGGUGCGUAACGCGUGGGAACCUGCCCUUAGGUUCGGAAUAACUCCCCGAAAGGGGUGCUAAUACCGGAUAAUGUCUUCGGACCAAAGAUUUAUCGCCUUUGGAUGGGCCCGCGUUGGAUUAGCUAGUUGGGAGGGUAAAAGCCUACCAAGGCGACGAUCCAUAGCUGGUCUGAGAGGAUGAUCAGCCACACUGGGGCUGAGACACGGCCCGGACUCCUGCGGGAGGCAGCAGUGGGGAAUGUAGGACAGUGGGCGGAAGCCUGAUCCAGCAAUGCCGCGUGAGUGAUGAAGGCCUGAGGGUUGUAAAGCUCUUUUACCCGGGAUGAUAAUGACAGUACCGGGAGAAUAAGCUCCGGCUAACUCCGUG